UGCACCUCUCUAGGGAUCCAAGAGAUUGUGAAACUCCACCAGAUGGGAGCUCCUCUUGCUGCUUCAACAUCCAGCAGCUUGAUUUGGGGCGUGAAAAAGGGAUUGGGGUGGACACCAACCCAAACGCUGAAACUUCUCAAUGCAAAACUCUAUUUUGUCGACAUGCUCCUUGUCAAUCACAUAAGCAUUCCUCUGCUAGUCUUUUGGGUGAUCUAUUAAGACAUUAAGCACCCA
rnacentral:lncRNA from 1 species